rnacentral:rRNA from 1 species
UACAGAGGUCCCGAGCGUUGUUCGGAUUCAUUGGGCGUAAAGGGUGCGUAGGCGGCGGGGCAAGUCUGUGUGAAAUCCCGGGGCUCAACCCCGGAACUGCAUUGGAUACUGCCUUGCUUGAGUACUGGAGAGGGAACUGGAAUUUACGGUGUAGCAGUGAAAUGCGUAGAGAUCGUAAGGAAGGCCAGUGGCGAAGGCGGCUUCCUGGCCUGUUCUUGACGCUGAGGCGCGAAAGCUAGGGGAGCAAACGGG